rnacentral:lncRNA from 1 species
AGCUAGUCCGUUGACCAGGGUUGACGCGGGCCGCGUAACCCUUGUCCUUUCUUUACGCGGGCCGCGUGGGAACCAGUUUCAGCACUAUAUAAGAAGGCCAUCGGGUUUCACUUUCCGUCGCUCACAUCUUUCUUUCUAAACGAAUUUCUGAAGUAGUAGAGAUUAUAGUUGGGUAUUAUACCCCUAAUUAGCGAAGCUCUGCCUCGUUGUAAGUAUCAUAACCCCUGGAUACAUAUUAGAUACGCUGUCCGAUUGAUCUAGGGUGAACAGCUGUCGUGGUUCUGCCCGACGUAGUCGUUGGAAUGUCGUCUCGGGGAGGAUUAUAACCAGGGAAUCACAAAGGAAAGCCCUAUAAUAGCAAUGUAACUUAGUAUGAAGCUAAUAAAAGCCAGCUGGAGAGCACUGAAGGCUUGGAAAAGUGACAAUAAAGUUACCUAAAAUAAAAUAGAUGUUUUUAUUAAACAAAAUAGGAUUUGGUCCUAUGAAAAUGUAU